UUUAUUUUUUAUUUUUAUUUAAAGUUUUUGUAUGCUGUCCCCUUGCUAUAUAGCCUCCGGAUGGCUCACACAAAUAAAUAAAUAUAAUACAAAUAUAGUUAAAGCCCGGAAACACCCCGGCUGCACAAUUAAAACCAUUAAA